rnacentral:rRNA from 1 species
CAAUUGCCGGCGACCGGCGCACGGGUGCGUAACGCGUAUGUAACCUACCUAUAACAGGGGCAUAACACUGAGAAAUUGGUACUAAUUCCCCAUAAUACUCGGAGAGGCGUCUCUCCGGGUUGAAAACUCCGGUGGUUAUAGAUGGACAUGCGUUGUAUUAGCUAGUUGGUGAGGUAACGGCUCACCAAGGCAACGAUACAUAGGGGGACUGAGAGGUUAACCCCCCACACUGGUACUGAGACACGGACCAGGCUCCUACGGGAGGCAGCAGUGAGGAAUAUUGGUCAAUGGACGCAAGUCUGAACCAGCCAUGCCGCGUGCAGGAAGACGGCUCUAUGAGUUGUAAACUGCUUUUGUACGAGGGUAAACUCACCUACGUGUAGGUGACUGAAAGUAUCGUACGAAUAAGGAUCGGCUAACUCCGUGCCAGCAGCCGCGGUAAUACGGAGGAUUCAAGCGUUAUCCGGAUUUAUUGGGUUUAAAGGGUGCGUAGGCGGUUUGAUAAGUUAGAGGUGAAAUCCCGGGGCUUAACUCCGGAACUGCCUCUAAUACUGUUAGACUAGAGAGUAGUUGCGGUAGGCGGAAUGUAUGGUGUAGCGGUGAAAUGCUUAGAGAUCAUACAGAACACCGAUUGCGAAG